rnacentral:misc_RNA from 1 species
AAUCUUCAAAACCCUUUUUCUUUAAAGGGUCUUUGGACUUGGAGGUUCAAUGCUUGCCUUGAAAGCGAGCUCCUCUCAAAUGAAUCAGUGGGGUCCGCUUUGCUGAUCCUUGACGUGAUAAGAUGUUUCUACGUUUUGGGUUUAGCACUGUCCCUUGGAUGCCUGCUCCUAACUGUCUCAUGGACAAUGAUGGUGCUCUGGUCACCGGCCGUCUACAUCGGCGGGGGGCUGGACCCACAAAAAGAAAACC